GGUAACCAGAAAGACUCCUGAUUGUGGAUGAAGAGAUCUGAGGUUUGGUCUCUGGUGCCAUCACUCAUGAGGGAACCUUGGGCUCAUCUCUCAUCAGCUUCAGGUUCCCUUUCCAAGAGAGUCAGGAAGAAAGUCCAACAGGAGCUUUGCCCAGUUCUGACAUUCUCUCACGUGAAUACACACAGCUUGUGUGGCAGCAUUCUGGUCUCAUGUCUUAGUCACAAAAGGUACUCCACUGUAUCAGAAUAUUUUCCUUGGCUGUGACCUCAGGCCAGGCCACAGGUCAGGACAGAAGAUAACACAGGCAAGUUCAAAGGUAAUUGGACGAGGAGUUUUAAGCACGCACGGCUGUUCCCGUGGCAAACUGCUUCAUGAAUACCCAUCGGGAUCUCUCCAUAUGGACAGCAGAAGAGAUCCUGCUGUUCUUUUGCUAAUAAAAACUGUUGUGAUUACAUUUUC
ensembl:lincRNA